rnacentral:rRNA from 1 species
AGAUGCAUGCGACUGAAUUGUAGUCUACAGGUGUGUUUUCGUGUAGAUCUGGGCAUAAAUUUUUUCUUGGAAUUGGGUGCCAGAGAGGGUUACAGCCCCGUAUCUUGGCCCGGAAAAUCUAUGCUUCAUGAUAACGCACUAAAGAGUCAGGUUGCUUGGGAGUGCAGCCUUAAUUGGGUGGUAAACUCCAUCUAAAGCUAAAUAUUGACGGGAGACCGAUAGCGAACAAGUACCGUGAGGGAAAGAUGGAAAGAACUUUGAAAAGAGAGUGAAAUAGUGCUUGAAAUUGUUAAGAGGAAAAGCGAUUGAAACCAAUCAAUGCUUUCUUCAAAGCGUAAUCAAGCUGGAAUGUUUCAGAGGGAAACGGCCUAUAGGACACGAUCCUUUGCACUACGUUCCAGUUUGGGUCAACAUCAUUUCGCAAAGCAAAAGAAGGUCCAGGGCGGUUCUGAUGGCCUGUUGAAUAGCUUCGGUUGUUCGACUGGGCUCGCCUUUCUGGUACACAUACUUGCGAAGCUUUUGUGGAAUGACGUACAAAAAAAGGGGAAAAGCCGCAAGGCGGUGGGUCCUUUCUGAAAAAACUGCUUGUAGGCCAGGGAACGGAGACUCUUCGGAGUGUCUGACUUGAAAGCUUGCUGCACAGGAGGGGUACCUGACCAUUUUCCCCGGGAUGCUUUUGACACCAAAUGGUUUUUAUCGACCCGUCUUGAAACACGGACCAAGGAGUCUAACAAAUACGCGAGUAGUAGGGUGGCAAACCUAACUAGAUGCGAAGUGAAAGCAAAAACGGGUUGGAUCCUUUUCUCAGUGAAUGAGGGGAGGUGCACAAUCGGCCGACCGGCCUUCGGGCGAUGGUUUGAGCAAGAGCGUAUCUGUUGGGACCCGAAAGAUGGUGAACUAUGCCUGAAUAGGAUGAAGCCAGAGGAAACUCUGGUGGAGGUCCGUAGCGGUACUGACGUGCAAAUCGUUCGUCAAAUUUGGGUAUAGGGGCGAAAGACUAAUCGAACUAUCUAGUAGCUGGUUCCCUCCGAAGUUUCCCUCAGGAUAGCUGGAAUUUUAUCGAGUUUUAUCAGGUAAAGCGAAUGAUUAGAGGACUCGGGGAUGAAACAUCCUCGACCUAUUCUCAAACUUUUAAUAGGUAAGAUACGUAGCGGCCGCCUAAGUUGGGCCCGCGUAUUGAAUCGAAUAAUUCCAAGUGGGCCAUUUUUGGUAAGCAGAACUGGCGAUGCGGGAUGAACCGAAAGUCAUGUUAAGGUGCCUAACUUCUGGCUCAUGUAGAUCCCACAAA